rnacentral:rRNA from 1 species
UACGGAGGGUGCAAGCGUUAUCCGGAUUUACUGGGUUUAAAGGGCGCGUAGGCGGCCUUCUAAGUCAGACGUGAAAUCCCUCGGCUCAACCGGGGAACUGCGUCUGAGACUGGAAGGCUUGAAUCCGGGAGAGGGAUGUGGAAUUCCUGGUGUAGCGGUGAAAUGCGCAGAUAUCAGGAAGAACACCCGUGGCGAAGGCGGCUCUCUGGGACGGUACUGACGCUGAGACGCGAAAGCGUGGGGAGCGAACAGG